rnacentral:rRNA from 1 species
UACGGAAGGGUGCAAGCGUUAAUCGGAAUUACUGGGCGUAAAGGGUGCGUAGGCGGUUGUUUAAGUCUGUCGUGAAAUCCCCGGGCUCAACCUGGGAAUGGCGAUGGAUACUGGACAGCUAGAGUGUGUCGAGAGGAUGGUGGAAUUCCCGUGUAGCGGUGAAAUGCGUAGAGAUCGGGAGGAACAUCAGUGGCGAAGGCGGCCAUCUGGGACAACACUGACGCUGAAGCACGAAAGCGUGGGGAGCAAACAGG